GCCAAAAUAGCUCAGUUGGGAGAGCAUUAGACUGAAGGUCUAAAAGGUCCCUGGUUCAAUCCCAGGGUUCGGCA